rfam:Clostridium argentinense CDC 2741 T732.Contig249, whole genome shotgun sequence.
CUUUAUAUCAUAAAAUUUUCUCGUAUAUCAUCGGAGAUAAGGUCCGAAAGUUUCUACCUGCUAGCCGAAAAUUAGCAGACUACGGGGUUAAGUUGUUUUAGU